rnacentral:rRNA from 1 species
AGAGUUUGAUCAUGGCUCAGAACGAGCGCUGGCGGCGUGCUUAACACAUGCAAGUCGAGUGCGCGCCUGUAGCAAUACAGGUGGCGCACGGCGCACGGGUGCGUAACACGUGGAUAAUCUGCCCCUCUGAUGGGGAAUAACUCGCCGAAAGGCGAGCUAAUUCCGCAUAAUAUUCCGAGAACUUCGGUUUUUGGACUGAAAGGCGUAAGUCGUCGGAGGAGGAGUCCGCGCACGAUUAGCUAGUUGGUAGGGUAAUGGCCUACCAAGGCUUUGAUCGUUAGCUGGUCUGAGAGGAUGGCCAGCCACACUGGAACUGAGACACGGUCCAGACUCCUACGGGAGGCAGCAGUGGGGAAUCUUGCACAAUGGGCGAAAGCCUGAUGCAGCGACGCCGCGUGGGGGAUGAAGCAUUUCGGUGUGUAAACCCCUUUCGAUCCGGACGAAAACCUCGCAAGAGGAUUGACGGUACGGAUAUAAGAAGCCCCGGCUAACUACGUGCCAGCAGCCGCGGUAAGACGUAGGGGGCCAGCGUUGUUCGGAAUUACUGGGUGUAAAGGGUUCGUAGGCGGUGCGGCAAGUUGGGAGUGAAAUCUCUGGGCUCAACCCAGAGGCUGCUUCCAAAACUGCUGUGCUUGAGUGUGAGAGAGGCUCGUGGGAUUGCAGGUGUAGCGGUGAAAUGCGUAGAUAUCUGCAGGAACACCCGUGGCGAAAGCGGCGAGCUGGAUCACUACUGACGCUGAGGAACGAAAGCUAGGGGAGCAAACAGGAUUAGAUACCCUAGUAGUCC